rnacentral:rRNA from 1 species
GUCAACUGCGAGCAAGAAUAAGCGUUAAGACGAAGUGUGGUGGCGGUAAUGGUGAUUGUUUGGGGGACAAAGUGCGGAGGUGGUGCUGUAGGUCGUGGGUGAAAUGCACGGUAUCUAGCUGGGAAUGUAAGUUGAUAUUGGGGAGUGAAAGUGGGAUAGAUGAUGUUGGAAUUCGCGGUGUAUCGGGGAAAUUCGUAGAAAUAAUGAGGACCAUUAGUGGCAAAAGCGGCCAUCUCGAUCAAGACUGACGCUGAGGCACGAAAGCGUGGGGAGCAAACAGGAUUAGAUACCCGAGUAGUC